AUUGAACGCUGGCGGCAGGCCUAACACAUGCAAGUCGAGCGGCAGCGGGAAAGUAGCUUGCUACUUUUGCCGGCGAGCGGCGGACGGGUGAGUAAUGCCUGGGAAAUUGCCCAGUCGAGGGGGAUAACAGUUGGAAACGACUGCUAAUACCGCAUACGCCCUACGGGGGGAAGCGGGGGACCUUCGGGCCUUGCGCGAGUGGAUAUGCCCAGGUGGGAUUAGCUAGUUGGUGAGGUAAUGGCUCACCAAGGCGACGAUCCGUAGAUGGGCUUGUGGGAUGAUCAGCGAAAUUGGAAGUGAGACACGGUACAGACUCCUACGGGAGGCAGCAGUGGGGAAUCUUGCACAGUGGUGGAAACCCUGAUGCAGCCAUGGCGCGUGUGUGAAGAAGGCCUUCGGGUUGUAAAGCACUUUCAGCGAGGAGGAGAGGUUGAUGCCUAAUACGUAUCAACUGUGACGUUACUCGCAGAAGAAGCACCGGCUAACUCCGUGCCAGCCGCCGUGGUAAAAC
rnacentral:rRNA from 1 species